rnacentral:misc_RNA from 1 species
UUUCCGUAGGCGAACCUGCGGAAGGAUCAUUCAUAAUAAAGUGUUUUAUGGCACUUUUUAAAAAUCCAUAUCCACCUUGUGUGCAAUGUUAGAUCUCGUCAAUCUUGGCGAGAUUUUUAUACAUCAACUCAUUCUUUAACUAAUUUGUCUGAAAAAUAUUAUGAAUACUUAAUUCAAAAUACAACUUUCAACAACGGAUCUCUUGGCUCUCGCAUCGAUAAGAACGCAGC